AUUCCAGCUCCAAUAGCGUAUAUUAAAGUUGUUGCAGUUAAAAAGCUCGUAGUUGGAUUUCUGGCGGAAGCGGUCGGUCCUGCCCCUCACGGGGUUGCGUACUAGAGUCGCAUUCGGCCAUCCUUGUGGAGAACGUCUCUGGCAUUAGGUUGUCGGAUUCGGGAUCUGCAUCGUUUACUGUGAAAAAAUUAGAGUGUUUAAAGCAGGCUCUUGCUCUGAAUACAUUAGCAUGGAAUAAUAAGAUAGGACUUUGGUGCUAUUUUGUUGGUUUGCGCUCUAAGGUAAUGAUUAAUAGGGAUAGUUGGGGGUAUUCAUAUUUAAUUGCCAGAGGUGAAAUUCUUGGAUCAUCGCAAGACGAACAACUGCGAAAGCAUUUGCCAAGCAUGUUUUCAUCA
rnacentral:rRNA from 1 species